rnacentral:rRNA from 1 species
CGGCGGCCGUAACUAUAACGGUCCUAAGGUAGCGAAAUUCCUUGUCGGGUAAGUUCCGACCCGCACGAAAGGCGUAAUGAUUUGAGCACUGUCUCGACAAUGCAUCCGGUGAAAUUGAAGUACCAGUGAAGAUGCUGGUUACCCGCGCCAGGACGGAAAGACCCCAUGGAGCUUUACUCCAGUUUGAUACUGGGAUUCGGUACUGCAUGUACAGGAUAGGUGGGAGACGAAGAAGGAUGGACGCCAGUCUGUCCGGAGUCGCUGUUGGGAUACCACCCCUGUAGUACUGGGUUUCUAACCAGUUGCCAUGAACUGGCAAUGGGACAAUGUCAGGCGGGGAGUUUGACUGGGGCGGUCGCCUCCGAAAGGGUAUCGGAGGCGCUCAAAGGUUCCCUCAGAAUGGUUGGAAACCAUUUGAAGAGUGCAAAGGCAGAAGGGAGCUUGACUGCGACACCGACGGGUGGAGCAGGUACGAAAGUAGGACUUAGUGAUCCGGUGGUAUAAAGUGGGAUUGCCAUCGCUCAACGGAUAAAAGCUACCCUGGGGAUAACAGGCUUAUCACUCCCAAGAGUUCACAUCGACGGAGUGGUUUGGCACCUCGAUGUCGGCUCAUCGCAUCCUGGGGCUGUAGCAGGUCCCAAGGGUUGGGCUGUUCGCCCAUUAAAGCGGUACGCGAGCUGGGUUCAGAACGUCGUGAGACAGUUCGGUCCCUAUCCGGCGCGGGCGGAGGAUAUUUGAGAGGAGCUGUCCUUAGUACGAGAGGACCGGGAUGGACGGACCACUGGUGUAUCUGUUGUCGACCAACGGCAUGGCAGAGUAGCCAAGUCUGGAAGGGAUAAACGCUGAAGGCAUCUAAGCGUGAAGCCCCCCUCAAGAUGAGAUAUCCCUCCUUCGGGAGUAAGACCCCUUGAAGACUACAAGGUAGAUAGGGCAGAGGUGGAAGCAUGGCAACAUGUGGAGCUGACUGUUACUAAUAGGUCGAGGGCUUAAUCUG